CUCCUGUAAAAUUUCAAACUUACAUUUUUAUCACACAUAAGUACCUAAUAUACAGAUUGCUUAAUCCAAAAAUAUGUUUUAAUCAAAAAGGGCAUUUCCGCGGAUGUCUUUUUUGUAUCCAUCCUCUCAAUUAUUAUUUUACUAGGUACGACAUGGGUUUUGAAAGUGAUUCUAGUGAUGAAGAAGUGGUGAUAGUACACAACUAUUACAAAAUAGCAAUAUAUAAUAGUGUAUUACCCUUGAAAAAAUAAAGAAGAGGGACUUAAUGAGACAUAAAAAAAUGUACCCUAGCGUUCCUUGUAAUGAUUGACUUUAACCUAAAUUGUGGGAGGCUUCGUCCCUACGAUUUCCUUACUUUCAUUUUAAAAAAAAUUCUAUAAAUCACUACAGUUAACCCAAUCCAUAGAAUAUAAACGUUUUUAUUCUAACACUCAUUAUUGAUUAUUAAUUAUUAUGAUUACAUAAUUAAGUAUCUAUUUCCAAUUGUAUGCCUCAAAUAAACACUCGGCUAUCGUUCAGCUAUCCUAUCGUGUUAAUCAGUUAUCAUUUAUUUUAUCAUAAGCAAAUGUGUUAUAUAAAAAAUAAUAAUUUAUCACUGGACGAUAAAUUCUGAGAAAAAUGUAUAAUUUAUUUGAGUUCACGUUAGCUUAGGGCAAUAAAUAUUUUUUUGAAAAUGUCAUUAUUUACUCAAAGAGACGUACCGUAACCCCAUCCCAGUAGAAAUAAUUAGUAAGGGAAUGCUACAGAAAAAGUAAAAUAAAAGAACUGAACUCUCUUUAGUCUCCUAUAAUUUAAGCACUGGGAAAAACAUUCGGAAAUAAUACUACUCCACUCAGUACCAUUUUACAUUUGCAAUGACAAAUUAUUGCAGUAUACAGUUAUAAUAAACAGAACAUAACACUCGUUAUCUCGGAAAGGAUUAAGUAAUUUUUUUUGGAAGUUGUUUUCUAGAAAAUUAAUAAAAAAAAAAAAGGAACUCAAAAAUAUGUUACACCAGGCACAUAUGAUGUAUACAAAUAAAUAUUUUAGGGAGGUAAGAUGAACAAAAUAUCAAACGCUAUAUCCCAUCUUAAAUAAAAAUAUUACUAAAAACAAACGGACACAAUUGGUAGGCCACUGUUGGUGAGAAAUUGGAAAGGUAGAGGAAAUUUAAUGUUAAUCUGUACGCAAUGAUUAAUUGCUGCUAACAAAAAAUGAUUCUGAUCAGAGUUCAGUUAUGCAUGUUUUGAAUAUUUACGAUUUGGUAAUAAUAAAUUUC